UACGUAGGUGGCAAGCGUUGUCCGGAUUUACUGGGCGUAAAGAGCGCGCAGGCGGUUGUUUAAGUCGAAUGUGAAAGCCCCCGGCUCAACUGGGGAGGGUCAUUCGAUACUGAUCGACUUGAAGGCAGGAGAGGGAAGUGGAAUUCCGGGUGUAGUGGUGAAAUGCGUAGAUAUCCGGAGGAACACCAGUGGCGAAGGCGACUUCCUGGCCUGUUCUUGACGCUGAGGCGCGAAAGCGUGGGGAGCGAACAGG
rnacentral:rRNA from 1 species